GAUGAACGCUGGCGGCGUGCCUAAUACAUGCAAGUCGAGCGAACAGACGAGGAGCUUGCUCCUCUGACGUUAGCGGCGGACGGGUGAGUAACACGUGGAUAACCUACCUAUAAGACUGGGAUAACUUCGGGAAACCGGAGCUAAUACCGGAUAAUAUAUUGAACCGCAUGGUUCAAUAGUGAAAGACGGUUUUGCUGUCACUUAUAGAUGGAUCCGCGCCGCAUUAGCUAGUUGGUAAGGUAACGGCUUACCAAGGCGACGAUGCGUAGCCGACCUGAGAGGGGGAGAGGAAAAAGUGGGAAUGAGACAAGGGUGAGAGAACGCAGGGAGGCAGCAGUAGGGGAGCUUCAGAAAUGGGCGAAAGCCAGACGGAGAAAAGCAGCGUGAGUGAUGAAGGUCUUAGUAUCUUAAAACUCUGUGAUUAGGGAAGAACAAAUGUGUAAGUAACUAUGCACGUCUGGAAGGUACCUAAGCAGAAAGACAAGGCGAAAGAAGGG
rnacentral:rRNA from 1 species